UAUAAGAUAUUUGAAGAGAUAUGACCAAUUUAUGUCCUAUGAAGGCAACUCCAAGAACAAAGUUUUUAUUUCAUGGUAGGUGAAACACGAACCUCAUAGUCACAAUAUGAGAACCCUGUUGACAAGUUUUUGAUGUAAUUCUUUGAAGUAAAUAUUUUUGUUAAAGUAAUUCCUUGAAAUGAGGAAAACAGUUUUUUGAAAAGUAGUACGUAGAAAACAAUCAAGAUACUAUUUUGGGGGAUUUUACCUGUGAACAUAUAAAAAGAGGCGAAUUCUUUACCUUUUACCCACAACUGAUUUAACAAUACCUCAGGUGCACCACAACAUUGAGAGUUGAAAGAUGCCGGGAGAUUUUCCAAAGGCGCUGGUAAACAAGGCUGCCCAUGUCUUCAGGCAUGAACCAGAAACUUACUCAAAAUUCACACAUUUUCUCGCCACACUUGACAAGAAGAAAAGGAAACCAUUCGUGAAAAGCCUCAUGGCUGUUCUCAACGAUGACCACAUGUUUAAAGUCACAGCCGAGAAGUUUCUGGAAAACGAUGUUAGGCAGAUCCCUGACGACAGUGGUGAUAGUGACAACGCCUACGAUGAUGACGACGAUGAAUAGACAGCUAUGAGUCCUGAAAUUAACGUUUCAGUUAAACAGUUUUAUUUUCGUACAUAAUGAUCGAAUCAUUUAUAAAAAUAAAAUGGCAAAUACAAUUUAAGAAACGAAAUAUACCUAAAAAAUGUAUACUUUGUUACUCAUUUAUAAUGUACUAUCCGUUGCUUCCUUUAGAUGCUUUGUUGACGAAUGAAACUCACGUGUUAUCUAUUGUAAGAAUGUACUGUUUGCUUAUAAUAAACAUCUACCAACAAGUAUGUAAUUACCAUUAAAGAAUUGUUCACUCAUGUAUGUACUUUUGGAUUGCUCGAACAUAUAAAUAGCUUGUAAGUUAAUGUACUUCUGUUAUGUAACACCUUACAAAUAAUUUAUUUUAGUACGCAAAAUGGACAAAAAAAAAGUUACCCGAUUUGUUAUACGAAUAUCAACAUUGUGUAAUAAAAGUUCCUUUCAUAAAUGA